AGCGAACGCUGGCGGCAUGCCUAACACAUGCAAGUCGAACGAGACCUUCGGGUCUAGUGGCGCACGGGUGCGUAACGCGUGGGAACCUGCCCUUAGGUUCGGAAUAACUCCCCGAAAGGGGUGCUAAUACCGGAUAAUGUCUUCGGACCAAAGAUUUAUCGCCUUUGGAUGGGCCCGCGUUGGAUUAGCUAGUUGGUAGAGUAAAAGCCUACCAAGGCGACGAUCCAUAGCUGGUCUGAGAGGAUGAUCAGCCACACUGGGACUGAGACACGGCCCAGACUCCUACGGGAGGAAGCAGUGGGGAAUAUUGGACAAUGGGCGAAAGACUGAUCCAGCAAUGCCGCGUGAGUGAUGAAGGCCUUAGGGUUGUAAAGCUCUUUUACCCGGGAUGAUAAUGACAGUACCGGGAGAAUAAGCUCCGGCUAACUCCGUG
rnacentral:rRNA from 1 species